UCCUGCACUCCUCCGCUCUGCUCUGUAUUUUCUUCUCCCGACUCCCUCCUCACUUUACCUCUUGGUACUCUGUUGUCCUUCCCUCCCCUCUUUUCUUAUUUGAUCUGUGACCUCGACACUGGAUGACCAUGGGUAUUAACUAAGCAGUGGAGUGGCUGUCAUAUCAGUUCCCUGAGUCUGUGUGGAUACGGCAGUGACAGCGCUGUUUGCAGUGGUGGAGGACAAGACUGGGAUAAGAGUUGGUGCCAGGGAUUACAUGUGAGGUGGAGUGGAGGUGACAUAGUUUGAGCAUUUCUUCACAGCUUUACUUAACCGCAUGGAAACUGAAAACAAAACAGCAUGAUUAAGGCACAGAUGAAAUACUGGUCCAUUUUUAAACAACAUGGCCAAAAGGGGAAGGGGGAAAGGUUGAACUUUGGGAAGAGCACAAAAUGGGCAAAUGAAAGAAUUCAGAUUGUUGUGGAAAACAUUCAUAAAUUAUUCCGGAUUGAGGGUGAAGUCACAGAAGAGGAGGGUGGCGGGGGGUCUGCUGCUAGACUCAGUCAAUAUAAAUCAAAACAUAGCUAUAUUUUUUCAACCUGAGAAGAAGAUAGCGUAAGAAAAUGGAAAGAGUUGAAAAUGAUGAAAGCCUUGGGAGGAUGAGGAGAGACGAUGGAGGGUUACAGAGAGGGUGGGGGUGGGGAGGAGUAAAUUGAAUUGGACAGACAGAGCAAGGUUUGGAGAUAAGACAAAAGUUGUUUCUGAGUCAUCGGCUUGUCUGGGUGUGGGGGAGUGUGUGUUUGGGUUAAGCCUCUGUGUGAAUAUGUGUGUAUGCUAAGCUCCUCUUUGUUUGCAUCAAGUGUGUGUUUGUUGGUAUGUCUAAUGUUUAAAUUCAUCUUACUGUAGUUUAGACUAUAGUAUUUACUGUAGUCAAAAUAGGCAUAUAUUAUCUUUCUUUUCUUUUGCUAAUAUUCUCUUUCAUCCUCUCCUCUUUUUUUUUACACUUUUAUUUGAGUAUCUAUCCAGUAUUUUUUUUUUCAAUUCAAUUUUUACUCGAUUCAUACCUCAAAGUUUCUCUGUACAUUUUGAUCUUUCUCCCUUGAAGAGGUGUCUGAAAGCACUUGCAGUCUAGAGAAGCUCUUUCUGAAAAGUUCUCAAAGUGUUUUCAGUUCAAUCCUCCGCCUUUAAUCCUUUAAAAAAAAAAAAAAAAAAAAACUUCAUGAGAGCACUGUCGUUCUUCCUAGGAAUGGCACACUGCAGUGAUUUUCAAUGUCAGAUACGACGUCUACUGAAACCUUUCUGUGUGAGUCACAGAUAAAUCUAUAAGUAUCACUGUGCACACUGCAAAUUUUUCAAAGGAAAGUGACAAAGACAUUAGCUUGUAAAAUCUAGUAUAAAUCAAUUUUCUCUGUUUGAUUUUGUUGCAUGUUGUGCAUAGGGGGAUCCUUGUGCAAUUGUAUUCAUUAAAACUAUGAUGGUAUUUAAAUGCGUGUCAGUUUGGGCGGCUCAGGACAGAGUAUUGGAUCUUUUUGCUCACCCUGUCCUGGUCGUGUGUGCGGUAUUCUUUAACAUAAGAGAUCAUCUAUUUGGCAUAAAAAGGCAGAAAAUACAGAAAAAAAUUCUGAAAAGAAAGCAGUUACAGAAAAAAAUGGAUGUCUGUCUUUUUUGAAUCACAAUUAUAAAAAAAACUGUUUAUGAAGGCAAGGGUUAAACUGUGUUUACCUUUCAAAGUUUCUCUUUGUGAUUCCAUUCAUAAAUUAAACUUCUCAAACCAUUCACCCACUUAUCAGCUGAUAAAGGUUCAUACUGAAUCAGCUCUAAGAUCUCUUUUAACGGCCUUUAAACCUGCGAUCCCCUAUCAGACAAAGUGAAAUUCACCACCUGUGGAUAGAGCUAUGUGCUGACAUUUAAAACUGUAGAUUAGCUCAGCGAUGUUUUUAAGUCCAUGAUUUUUUUUGAAUAAUUUCCUAAGUAUAAGUUAACAGUUAUUUGGCCUAAGCAUGGCAGAAAUUUCUGAAGUUGUAGCAAUAUUGAGUCUAAACUACCAAUCCGGGAAAACUUGAUAGACCGAGUUUGUGAGUUAGCGAGUGUGAAAAAUCAAACAUCUGAAGACUUACAUACACCAGGGAGAGUUAUCACUCACUGCCUGCAUGGGAUAAAUUUUCUCAGCUGGUUCUUAAUAUCCUGUGCUUUGAAGAGGUGUAAAAAUGAAGUUUUUUAUUGGAGUAAAUUUUGGGAAAUGUUUGUAUCUGUAGAGGAGACAGAGGAUUGAGUAUAAGGAACUGACAGAGUCUGGUCUGUCUGCUUGGGGGGCAUUUGUACAUGGGGUGUGUGAUUCAAUCUGAGCCGAACCAGAGUCCCAUUAUUCUACUUUCAAUCAAGAGCCAUUAUUGUGUUAUCAAUCAAUUUCUAUAUGGAUGGAUUUUGAUAUUAGAAACUCUAUGAACCAGAGGAGUCUGCUCACCUCUGUUUCAGUUCAUGUCAACAUGAGUGUAUUAACAGCAGUAAAUGUGUGAUCUCACCCAGAACAGAAAUGUCCUCAGUACUAAAGGGCUGUGGAAGCUGUCCCUUCAUCACCUCUUCCUUUCCUCUUUUCUUUCCCUCCUUCCUCCUCCUCCUCCUCCUGCCGCUCCUCCUUCUCCUGCUCUACAUCAUCCAUCCCCCUCUUCAGUUUGAUGCUCUUGGAUGCUUCAUGCACUCCAGCGCUCAGCCUUGUGGACAUGCAUAUAUGUUUGGGAUUAUAUAAUCAAGCUGUUACGCAACGCUAAAAGAGACUGAGGGAGGCAAACUCACUCACUCAUACACACACACACACACACACACACACAACAGUGAUACACACUUACAGGGAGAGUGUGUGUGUGUGUGGGGGGGACUCUUGUGUUUCAUGUUUGGAUUAUACCAAAUCCCACUCAGCUCUACACACACACACACAAAUACGCAACCGCUCGCCCUUUUAAAAUCCACGGGUAAAUCUCUGGUUAUGGAUGUUGGCUCUGUCUGUGAGUGUUAUUGUGCAGGUCUGUGUGUUCGUGUCCUUGUUUGCACCCACAAAAUAAAACAGUCUAACGGCAGCUCCACACAUGCACAGAGAUGGAGCUGUGCGGUUAUAUUUUUAACAGACACACAGUCUGCUCGGCAGUGUAUAAUGCUGCAGCUGACAAAGGCUUUCAUUCAUGUCUCCCCCCUGGUUCUGACAAAUGUGUAACAGACGAUCAUGUCUGUAUUUUUACCAGGUGAUUGUGUAUGAUCACAGGACUGUAUCUUGGGUUUUUAAACCUAAAAUUACCCCUAAUUUGUAGUGAAAUUAUCCCUCAUGAGCGAGUGAACACCCACUCUUGCAUUAGGACUGAUAAAAACCUCAAGAGGAACCCUUGAGUCCUCUUCAAGCUCCUUUGUAAUCAACAGCUACACAACAAGAUGAGUCUCCAUGCUUACACAUCAUUUAGUGUCUUAUGAGAAAUGGAAAAGAAAAGGUCAAACAUGCGAUCAGGCAGGAACCUAUCAGUGUUGUAUUGAUCUAUCAAAUAAAUCAGUGUUAUAAGUAGUUACUUAACGUGGAUAGGGAAUUUAUGUGAAGUUGUCUUCACAUCAAGCAGGGUUUAGAAAGGAGAACUUAAGGACCUACUCCGAUGAAAAUCAUGUUUUUCUUGUUUACAUGUUCAUAGGGUAUUUUCCUUAUACUAGAGGACAUAUCAUGAGGAAAAAGAAGAGCCAAAUUGCAUUUCUGAGUAUUUCUGCUUUUAAAUCUCUGUGAAUCUCUGGCAGACCCAAACAGCAGGAUCACACACAGUGAGAUUUCCUACGUAACCAAUCCAAGCUCCGCCCCCGAAGCCCCACUAUGCAGGCCAGACUUGGAGAAGUAGAGAGGACAAUCACGGAACAAGCAUCUCUGUAGAGGAUUAAAAUGCUUGUAAGAGAGCUAAUUAUGAUAUUAACUUUCAUACAUUUGUGUCUGAACGCUGAAUACCUCCUCUGUAACCUGUUUCUUCUACUACACCGGCAAUGUCAGGCUGCAAGCUAGCGUGAAGAGGAGUGUGCAGAGCAGCGCUGUCUCCGCCCACGACUCAGAGGCGAAUUGCUAAUGAGCUACUGGAGCUCUGCAGAAGAAAAGCUCUUGAAAACGACACAGGUAACAUGAUUUUGGUUAAAAACUUAAUAACCACAGUUUGAAGACCACUGAGAACACUUUAAGUAGUAAAAAAAAAACAAUCGUGUUUGGACUUCAACAACCUUGACCCUGUAUUUUGACCGUUUUUUUCAUAUCCAUCGUAUUUAUUUGACAUGUCUCAAACCAUGAUCAUAUGGUAUGAAGCACUACUAUAAAAAUGCUCUAAAUGUCUCCAUGGAGACUCAUACCUGCUCCCAGCCUCCCCCAGUAACCAUGGAUUCUUUGUUAUCUCCCAUACAGAGUGAGCCUCUUCCCAGCUCCCCAUACACUCUAGUGUGCUGUUGCAUGCUGUCAUUUGAACUUUAAGCGCACACUUCAGGAAUUUGAGGUGUAACUUUUCCAAUAGAUCUGUAUUUUAAAAGGUUUUAAAGUAGGUUUCUGUGUACUGCUGCAUAGUUCAGGAUCAUUGCUUAGCUGCACUUACUUGUCAGGCUGACUGAUCCCAUAUAAAGCUGAAGAUAUAUCCUCUGCUGCACGCAGAGACAGAUGAGGUGUUAUGUCACAAUGACAGUUUGGGGUUGCUUUUACCUGCUGGGGUCCCCAGGUGUGCUGUCUUUAGCUAUUGCCUCUCUCUUUCUAUUUAUCUCUGUCUACAUCUCUAUAACCUCAGCUCUUUUACUGUCUUUGCUAACAAAUCACCCAAAGAGAAAUGAUAUUAUUAUGGCAAGUGGAAUGAAGGCUCAGAGCAGAAUCCAGGUGUGGGUCAGAUCACUUGUUCACCCUGCAUGAGAGCACUCAGAGGAUUCUCCAGAUUGCAGCUGCAGAGUUUUUAUCUAAAUCAGGUUUUUUUCUUGAAGGAUGAGAUAAUAGCCUGAGCUAAUACAGUUCUCUGUACUGUACUAUCCAGGAAUGAGAAUAUAACCUUUAAUAUGUACAGUGCUAAAAAGUCGCUCUGAAGGGUUUUCUUUAAAAGCAGAGACCUUUAAAAAUGCAUGAAAUGCUCCAUGUACAGCCUGAAAGGCAGAAGCAUGGAGAGUGUUUCAGCCAGCGUGUGUGAAGGUGGUUUAUUUAUACAGGUUUUGAGGUCAAAAUAAUGAUGAAAGGUUAUUUUAGUAGCACAUCAUGAAUUGUUCAACUAUUGAACAAUCUCUUCUACAUCAAACCAUAAUACUGACCACCUUUUCU